CUUCUCUCACAAAUCUCAACUCUCUCUCUCUCUCUCUCUCUCUCUCCGUUUCUACCAUUCCGCCGCCUAGUUAGAACAAUAGCGUCGAAUCAUCGAGCUACAUGUCACGGAUCAUCAACGUUCCUUUACCCCAUUGCCUCAGAUUUGCUCCGAUCUGCCCCCUUCGCCUCAGAUCUGCUCCGAUCUCCUCUGUUGUUUGAUCGCGUUGUUCAUUUUUCUCAUCGAGCUACUGUUUCAGAGGAUGAAACCCUAGGUGAAGCUGCAAUCCAAGCGUUAACAGGAAAGACUGACAAAGACGUGCCAAUGAAAAAUGAUAAUUAAUAUUACCAAAAUUGUGAUGCUCAUAGUGCUUGUUAUUGUUGUGGGAAUUUUCGGGAUGGGGGAAACCCAAUCCCUGUUAAGAAGCGAGGACAUGGACGGUGAUGGGUUUUUCCGUCGGAGAUCAAGGUCAGCGACAGAGAAAUUUUCACCAUCGAGGAUUGGGGACAGGAAGUGUGAUCCCCAACCCCACCCCGGCCCAUUGCCAUCCCUAAUUGUCAUCGUUGCAUUUUUCAUCGAAUUCCCCUUCCCCAUUACCAUGCCACGCCAAACCCAUCCUCGAGAGAAAAAAAAUUAUUCUGUCUCUUUAAUUUAGAAAAAACAAAACAAUGCUACAACAGUUCCAGCAAUCAAAUAAAACCAUAUCUUGCUUCACAUUCAUUUA